rnacentral:lncRNA from 1 species
AAACUGCACCCAUUAUUAGCAGUGGGAAGGGAUGAUUCUUACAGUGCUUUCUGCCGGUGGAUUUACAAAAGGUCUUUACAUGGGAUUGUUGUACCUCUUUGCAGGUGAGAAGGUUGAGACAGAGAGAAAAGAAGCAAUUUAUCCAGGGUCACCUAGAAAGCUAAUAGUACUGCAGGAAGGAAAACCAAUGAAUCCCGAGGUGCACGCUGUUUUCCUUCCAACUGUUCCAAGUUUCCCGAGGAAACAAACAUCUCCACUGAAGUUUCCAGUCAGCAUCUGGAACAGGCUGGUGACUUGGUGA